rnacentral:rRNA from 1 species
AUGGUGGGGAUGAGCGGCGCCUACGGCGGCCACAGCAAUGGCGGCGAGAGCCGGGCGCCCAAGGCGGCCGUGGUAGUCGGGGCCCCGCCGCCGGAGAUGGAGAUGGAGAUGGCGGGGGCGAUGGGGGUGGUGCACAAGGUGGCGGCGCAGCCGGCGCAGAGCACGGCGAGCAAGAUGAAGGGCAAGGUGAAGGAGACCUUCUUCCCGGACGACCCGUUCCGGAGCUUCAAGGGGCAGCCGCUGCGGGCGCAGUGGGUGAUGGCAGCCAGGUACCUGUUCCCGGUGCUGGAGUGGUUGCCCGGCUACUCGCUGUCCCUCUUCAAGUCCGACCUCGUCGCCGGCCUCACCAUUGCCAGCCUUGCCAUCCCCCAGGGUAUCAGCUACGCGAAGCUUGCGAACCUGCCGCCGAUCAUAGGCCUAUACUCGAGCUUCGUGCCGCCGCUGGUGUACGCGGUGCUGGGCAGCUCGCGGGACCUGGCGGUGGGGCCGGUGUCGAUCGCGUCGCUGAUCAUGGGGUCGAUGCUGCGGCAGGCGGUGAGCCCGUCGGCGGAGCCCAUGCUGUUCCUGCAGCUGGCCUUCACCUCCACCUUCUUCGCCGGCCUCGUGCAGGCCUCGCUCGGCAUCCUCAGGCUGGGGUUCAUCAUCGACUUCCUGUCCAAGGCGACGCUGGUGGGGUUCAUGGCGGGCGCGGCCAUCAUCGUGUCGCUGCAGCAGCUGAAGGCGCUGCUGGGCAUCGUGCACUUCACCACCCAGAUGGGCAUCGUCCCCGUCAUGGCCUCCGUCUUCCAGCACACCAACGAGUGGUCGUGGCAGACGAUACUGAUGGGGGCCUGCUUCCUGGUGCUCCUGCUCACGGCCAGACAUGUGAGCAUCAGAUGGCCAAGGUUCUUCUGGAUCUCAGCGUGUGCUCCCUUGGCGUCCGUCAUUGUAUCCACCCUGCUCGUCUUCCUGUUCAAAGCGCAGAACCACGGCAUCAGCAUCAUUGGUUCGCUCAAAUGUGGCCUGAAUCGCCCCUCAUGGGACAAACUGCUCUUCGACCCGACAUAUCUUGGACUCACCAUGAAGACGGGCCUCGUCACCGGAAUCAUCUCCCUUACGGAAGGAGUAGCAGUUGGUAGGACGUUUGCUUCACUCAAGGACUACCAGGUGGACGGAAACAAAGAGAUGAUGGCCAUCGGGUUGAUGAACAUUGUCGGCUCAUGUACAUCGUGCUAUGUGACAACAGGAGCAUUCUCUCGCUCUGCUGUGAACCACAAUGCCGGCUGCAAGACCGCCAUGUCCAAUGUGGUCAUGGCGCUGACGGUCAUGGUCACGUUGCUGUUCCUCAUGCCAUUGUUCGUAUACACGCCGAAUGUUGUCCUUGGAGCAAUCAUCAUCGCUGCUGUCAUUGGCCUGAUCGAUCUCCCUGCUGCAUACAACAUCUGGAAGAUGGACAAGAUGGAUUUCCUCGUGUGUCUGUGCGCAUUUGCUGGUGUCAUCUUCAUCUCUGUCCAAGAAGGCCUUGCGAUUGCGGUUGGUAUAUCAAUAUUUAGGGUAUUGAUGCAAAUCACAAGACCAAGGAUGAUGAUUCAAGGCAACAUUAAGGGAACAGAUAUUUACCGGAACCUCCAUCAGUAUAAGGAGGCCCAAAGAGUUCCUGGGUUCUUGAUAUUGACAGUUGAGGCCCCCAUAAACUUUGCAAACACCAACUAUCUGAAUGAAAGGACUAAAAGAUGGAUAGAGGAUGAAAGUUCUUCAGGGAAUAAACAAACAGAACUCCGUGUCGUAAUCUUGGAUCUAUCAGCUGUCCCUGCAAUUGACACAAGUGGCAUAGCAUUCCUCAUUGACCUAAAGAAAUCAACAGAGAAACAUGGCCUAGAGCUUGUACUUGUGAAUCCAACUGGAGAGGUCAUGGAGAAAAUACAACGAGCGAAUGACGCACACGAUCAUUUCAGGCCGGACUGCCUGUAUUUGACCACUGGAGAAGCAAUCGCUUCACUUUCUGGAUUUGCCAAGAUGGCAACACCUUAG